GAGAAAGAAGAAGACUAGCCACUCCAAGGAUAGAGUUAAGAAAAAGAGAAAGAUGAAAGUCACAAGAAAACAUAAAAAGCAUGUUGAGAACAGUGAUGAUGAGUCCAGUGAUGAACCAGGUGAUUCCAAAAGAACUACUUUGAGAACCAACAAAGACAAGAAGUCCAAGAAAAACAACAAAAAAAGCAAGAGAAGAAAAAAGAAGGGAAAGCAGAGAAAACACCAUGUGAAGAAGUCAAAAAAGAGCAAGAAACAGCACAAGAGAAGAUUACCUAAAUCAAGCACCCAGAGCUCAGAUGAAAAAUCAAAAAAGGAUUCCUUCAAAGAUAACU